UACGUAGGGGGCGAGCGUUGUCCGGAAUUACUGGGCGUAAAGAGAGCGUAGGCGGCACUACAAGUCUCAUGUGAAAUACCCGGGCUUAACUUGGGGGUUGCAUGGGAAACUGUAGAGCUUGAGUACAGGAGAGGCAAGCGGAAUUCCUAGUGUAGCGGUGAAAUGCAUAGAUAUUAGGAGGAACACCAGUGGCGAAGACGGCUUGCUGGACUGAAACUGACGCUGAGGCUCGAAAGCGUGGGGAGCAAACGGG
rnacentral:rRNA from 1 species